UGCCACUCAAGGGGAAGCCCUGUCCAGGA
rnacentral:piRNA from 1 species